AGCAGCACGUCUGGCUUCUAUUUAUAACCAGCUCUCUGGCAAUGUCAAGAGGGCCCUGAAUCCCACCGAGGCUGAGCACCAGACGAGGCAACUGUGAAGAGAGAUUUCUCUCCUUUGAGCUAUGCAAGCUGAGCUGUGCUCUGCACCGACAAGUCAUCUGGGGUCUCAGGAUACCUGAAUCUUCAAGGCCCCGUGGAAAAGUUUCCCAGAACCCCCUACUGCCAGGUCCCCCACUCUGGACAGCCAGCCCUGCCUUGUCUUCACAGAUCAUAUCUCACAGCUUCACUGGGCUAGAGUACCCCCUCCCCAGGGGAGACCCUUGUGGAGAGGGCAGGCACGAAAGAAUAGAUGCAGAGUGGUGAAUAGCCAGUCUAAGCCGAUGGUGCAACCCAAGUCAAAAGCUGGACAUGGUCACACACACACACACACACACACACACACACACACACACACACACAGAGAGAGAGAGAGAGAGAGAGAGAGAGAGAGAGAGAGAGAGCAAUGUCCAUUUUCUUGGCCUUUGAUGUGGCAAGCACCCUUCUCCUGUAACCUGACUGUCUCUGGGGAAGCCACAUUUGUAAAAUAUCAGCAGAUUAAUUGACUGAUAGAACCUCUGACUAUAGAGAUUCCCGGUGCUGCUGAUCAAGAGCCCAAACUGGGCUUUCUUCAGCCCCCUUAUGAGCUACUAAUGCCAACCUAAUACCUGAUCUAACGUCUGGCAUCCCUGUGACCAUUUGGUGAUGGUCACAUGACCAAAUGAUGCUAUUUAGCCGGCUCACUGGCCCCAGAGCUAAGAAUAUUACCAGAUAGCAUCUGAGACCGAUGGCUGAGAGCUCCCUGUCCGAGGUAACCCCUACCAGAUGUCUUCGGCAACACUCGUAAGCGCACUGACUUAUUUAUGGUUUUGUUUUGGUCUGUGACUACUAAAGUCACUGGUCCACAGCGGAACACGUCGUUCAAGGUGGCCUGAAAAACCGAAUCCAGGUGCUGGCUAAUUUCUGCGAUCUUUGCUUCAGGAGAUGUGUUUGGCAGAAACACUUCCGCUCAGUCCAUGUGGCCCUGUGGACUGAUCCUUGGGGUCCAUAUUCCCUCCUCCUUCUCCCCUGGGAAAAUGGUCCUUGGUCCCUCCAGCUCCUACUCAAGUUUUCACAGCAGAAAAGCAACGCUUGGACCCCGUCUACUUACUGUGUUCUCCCUGUACUUUCACAAUUUUAAUUCUCACUUUCCUUCUAUUUCACUCCUAUUAAACAGUGUGUAGAUCCGACCACAAACCCUGUUUUGUAUGUUCUAUGCUUCCUGAUGAACAGCGUACCAAGGCCUUCUGAGAGGGUCAAGUGCGACACCAAGUGGACAAGGGCGCCACCUACAGGUAAUUUUGACAAAUAGCAUAGCUGCCUUUAGACCAGGCGGCAAUAUGGUCACUGGGGUGUAACAACUGCAUAGCGACCGCCCUAAAUUCCCAUCCGCAUCCGCAAGCUGACUGGUCCCUGCAGGGCGUCCAGGUACACGUUGUGCCAAACUUGCCCGCAGCAGCAAGCCAAGGGAAUCGCGUGGGAAAAUGGAAAACAGGCCUGCACGCCUCCGCGGGAAGUUGAUGAUCAGCAGGAACCGAAUCUCCGAAGUCACCCGCAACCCCACUCAGACUGGCAGUCUAAAAAAGGCAUUUCCUGGUGGCGGGAGGGUGACUCAGUUUCCCGGUGACUCAGCGCCACAAGUGCGCGGUGGUGCGGGUGUGCAGGGCUAUUCCGGGUGAGGCGGUGGAUCGGCCUCGCAGGCCCGCGCAGCUCAGGAAGCUCAAGUGGGGUGCGAGAGGAAGAGCUCACCACGCGGGGGAUGCAGGGAGGUGACUCAGCUGCGACGCAGCCCUUGCGGGGCUGCAGCUCCGCGCCACCGUGAACCCCUACGCAAAUGCACGCAGGCCACUGGGUCCCCAUGCGCACUUCUCCCUGUGCAUCUCCGAGGGCAGGCCACUCUGUCCCCCAAUGAACAUGUUCUUCUCAAUAUCCUGUGGCACGUGGUCACUGGAGACUUCGUCCCAGGACAUGUCCCUGCGGCAAGUGCACACAAGUGAUCGAUUUCCCCCUCUUGGGGGUAGCAUCCCACACUCUAGAGACCUUCUAUACUCUCACCCCCUUGGAGCUUGGACACAAACUCCAGACGGGACUGACUAGCUCAGCUGUCCUGUUCUGGGCUACAGUUACAACUCACAAGUCAGGGUUCAGUGAGUUCUGAAGGCAGUGCUUUCAGGGUCUAAGGGACAGCAAGAAGCUGUUAAGAGCUAUGAUCUCACAAUGCACUGAGCUGUCAGGCAGCGGUCCUCCCAACAGUACAGGGGGGUUGGGAAGGAAAUGUUUAGGGUACCACCUGCCCUCCACCCUACAGAGCUUGGCUCCCAUGACCUUGGGGUCUGAAUCUUUCAACGCCUUUUCUGGACGGGGCUGCCUCGAAAUAGAUGCCUCCUGUCUCAGAGAGGAACAGAGGGCUGUUUUCCACUGCACUUCAUAGCCCAGGGAGUCUUACCACAGAUGCCACACUGCCACCUAUGCUUUGAAUCAAGUCAGAGUGUGUCAUUCAACCACAAGUGUGGCCAAACAAUGGAACCCUAUUCAAAGCCAUUUUGAUAAACCCGUUUUUAAAUGUGCAGUACAGUCCAGGCUAUCGAGGAGGAAGAGCCGGCCCACAUUGCCUGGAUGUAUCCUCACCUGAUCUCCUCCCUCCUCUCCUCUUUGUGGGGACACUGUGACGUAGGCAAGUGCUUGAGUUCAUUUCCAGCCCAACCCUCAGGUCUACCCCUUCCUGUUGCAUAACUGUAUUUUUAAUUUCGACCUAAUUUUCACAUCUGACGGGUCAUAAGUUUGUUCUACAAUGACUUGCUUCUUACACAGAACCCGGAGAAGGGUGGGUGUUCUUUAGUCCCACUGUUCCCUGUACCUGAAACACGGCGAGCAUUUAUGUGGAUGACAAAACAGAAGAAGAGACAGAUG